CACACUACAGACAGUGACAACCUAACGACGACGUCUGUCGAGGUUAACAUCGCCGUUACUGGCUUUAAACGCAAGUAGACAAAAGCACAGUUGUGUGUGUUUCUUGCUUAACUCGUUGUAUAGAUCUCAAACCAAGCGGUCUACCAAUCACGAUGACUAAACAAACACAGUUGUACCUAGCUGUCGUCUUGUUGCUGCUUUUCAUAACACUGGAAGCGAGACAUAUUCACCAUCACCAUCAUCACCGUCUGGCUCAAAGUCGAUCAUGCGCCAGGACCUUCGCUCCGUGUAACAACAUUCCUUGUUGCAAAGUCAGCGACAAGUGCGACUAUGUUACAUCUAUGUCAAACCCACAACGCGUCUGCAAGUGAUGUUUGAUUAACAACUAAUAGAGCCUCCGCGACAUUGACAGAAUAACAAGUGAAUGAUGUCGCCUGAAGGAAACUAGCAUGGGAUGCUCGAUGUACCCAAAUAGUAACAACAACAGGGUGGUCUGCCUACUGUCCGAGUUUGGGAUGUUAACGAAUCGCACGAGU